GAUGAACGCUGGCGGCGUGCCUAACACAUGCAAGUCGAACGGAGUCCAGCCUUUAAGACCUUCGGGUCAAAGAGGGGAAGACUGAGUGGCGGACGGGUGAGUAACACGUGGGCAACCUGGCUCAUAGAGGGGGAUAACAGAGAGAAAUUUCUGCUAAUACCGCAUAAGCACACACUGCCGCAUGGCAGAGGGGGAAAAGAGAAUCGCUAUGAGAUGGACCCGCGUCUGAUUAGCCAGUUGGCAGGGUAAGAGCCUACCAAAGCGACGAUCAGUAGCCGAUCUGAGAGGAUGAACGGCCACAUUGGGACUGGGCCACGGCCCAAACUCCUACGGGAAGCAGCAGUGGGGGAUAUUGCACAAUGGGGGGAACCCUGAUGCAGCGCCGCCGCGUGAGUGAAGAAGUAGUUCGGUAUGUAAAGCUCUAUCAGCAGGGAAGAUAAUGACAGUACCUGAAGAAGAAGCCCCGGCUAACUACGUG
rnacentral:rRNA from 1 species